rnacentral:rRNA from 1 species
GACGAACGCUGGCGGCGUGCUUAACACAUGCAAGUCGAACGGAAAGGCCCUGCUUUUGUUGGGUGCUCGAGUGGCGAACGGGUGAGUAACACGUGAGUAACCUGCCCUUGACUUUGGGAUAACUUCAGGAAACUGGGGCUAAUACCGGAUAUGAGCUCCUGCUGCAUGUUGGGGGUUGGAAAGUUUCGGCGGUUGGGGCUCGACUCGCGGCUUAUCAGCUUGUUGGUGGGGUAGUGGCUUUCCAAGGCUUUGACGGGUAGGCCGCCUGGGAAGGUGGACGGGCACAAUGGGAAUUAGGGAAGGACCAGAAGCCUACGGGAAGCAAGAGGGGGGAAAAUUGCAAAAAGGGGCGGAGUCAGAUGCAAGAACGGCGGGGUCGGGAAGAAGGGCUUUGGGGUGGAAACCGGUUUGGGCGUAGAAGAAGAGGGAGUGACGGUAAAGGGUAAAAAAGCCACGGCUAACUAAGUG